AAUCAACGCUGGCGGCGUGCCUAACACAUGCAAGUCGAACGCGAAAGCCCUUUCGGGGGUAAGUAGAGUGGCGUCCGGGUGAGUAACACGUGGGUAAUCUGCCUUCGGGUGGGGAAGUAAACUCAGGGAAACUUAGAGCUAAUACCGCAUAAUGCAGCGGCAUCUAAUGAUGAUUAGUUGUUAAAGCGGGGGAGUCGUAAGACCUCGCGCCUGAAGAGGAGCCUGCGGCAGAUAGCUAGUUGGUGAGGUAAUGGCUCACCAAGGCUUCGAUCUGUAGCUGGUCUGAGAGGAUGAUCAGCCACACUGGGGACUGAGACACGGCCCAGACUCCUACGGGAGGCAGCAGUGGGGAAUAUUGACAAUGGGCGAAAGACCUGAUCCAGCCAUGCCGCGUGAGUGACGAAGGUC
rnacentral:rRNA from 1 species